rnacentral:tmRNA from 1 species
ACGCCUAUAUUAGGGGCGUCGGGUAACCGACUAUGGCGAUACAGGGCGCGUGAAAUAGGCGUUUUGGACCCGGGGGCAGUGCCCGGCGCCUCCACCACUCAGGCCUUUCCGAGGCCGGCAUGAGGGGGCGAAACAGGCUCGACAUGCGUAGUAAAGACGUUAGCUUUCGCUCGGCAUGAUACCGCCGUUAUCGGGUCAUCUUCACAAGUGCCAAUGAUAACGAUUUGGCCCUCGCUGCUUAACAUCUAAGCAAGCGCGGUUCGGGGGGCACCGGGCAACAGAAGCCCCCCAC